CGAGGGGACAGACACCCCCACUCAGCACGAGCCCAAUUGGAGGCACAGCUUAAAAAGGUGCAGGAGGCCCAGAAAUCAGCGGCUGUGGAGGUGCGUUCUUCAGGGUUGGUGCCUAAAAAGCCAGAGCUGGCUCCCAGGCUGGGAGCUGCACACCACGUCCCUGGCUCUCCCUGUGGCUUGGAAACAGCUUUUCCCAUUCCUCCCCCUGCUCGUUUCUUCACCUGCAGCAAAAACCCAGUGUGAAAGCCACUGAUCUACACCACAGUUCAACUGUGGCUCCACCAUGGGAGAAAAUUGUAACCCACAGCGUGGCUCCCCUUGAUCUCACCUCAAAGACAGGCAUUUCCUCCCAGCCGGCCCACUGCUGAACUGUCAGUACUACAAUGAAUGCACUGAAUCCCUGCCUACGUCAGGUAAUCGUUUUCUGAAUCUCCCAUAGACUCCCCAAAGCCACUGGCUGAGCAGGUCCCUGCUCCCCAGCAUCUCAUUUUUACUGCACAAAGAGAAAACAAAACAUGACCCAAGUAUCACAAUCAGUGUCUCUAGUCUUUCAUCUUCUGAAAUGUCUUUCAUCUUAGCACUCCCCUGAAAGUCCUCAAUAAGCCAGACAAGACAAAAAAAAAAACAUGAAAAAUUUAAAUCAGAAGGAUGCUGCUCUUGAUCUUACCCACAAAAACUAUGUCCCAGCUAUGCUUUUACUCAGCCUGGAGCGAUAUCUCUACCCACAGUAGAACUCAGCCUACCUAGGUUCAAAAAUUGUCAGCUCUGCUCUGCCAAGCACCAAAGUUUGUACUGAAACUCACUACCACAUCCCCAUGUGGACUCUACACACCAUUAACAAUGGGGCUGGGCAUGCACGCGCAUCUGCACGCACACACAGCACUGACCUUGCAAAAAUAAGCCUGAGGGCACCGUCUUUAAUACAGUUUAUUCACAGGAAAAUAAUCUCUUUCCAUUUGUAGCAUUCAAAAUUUCACUCGAAACAACUGUAAGAAUACCUUCAAAAUACAGCUGGCACUUUAAAGGUGUAUAAAACUUAAGACAAAUGGCAAAUAAAAUAUUUACCAAAACCAGAUGUUGAUCUUCCUAUGUUCUUAAAAAUCAGAUGCCACUUAAAAGUUAAGGUAUUUAAACUACCUCCCAGAGCACUGUUAAAAGGAAAGCGUGGUAUGGGAAACAAGAGGCACCACACACUAAUUAUUAAACACCCAAGUUGUGAUUCUGUAUUAUCAUCACCACUACAGUCACUGGAAAUGUCAUUUAGUAGUAUCUUUUAGGCACUCUCAGAUUUGUAUGUAGUGCAAUAGUUCAUGACCUUCCUUAAGUAAUAUCUCUGUACUUCCCUCAAUUAUUACAGCAGAGGAAAAAAUAUUUUCCCAACAGAAAAAAACAAACAUAAAAACCCCCUAAAAGUCUGAGCCCAACAGAGCUUUCAGCUGCUGCAUGCCAUUCUGCCUGUUUUGUGCGUACUUUGGUACCUCAGAGCUGGGUCUGUCUGAUGAUGUAACAUUUUGAGGGGCAUGGCAGAUAAAAUUCAGGAGCAGCUUUGCUGUAAGAUGCUGCUGUCUCAAAAUUCAGCAGGCUGCCGGAGAACAGGACAGAGGAAGAAGGGAUGAGACCAUCUGACUUUGUAGCUGAUACAGGAAGAAUGACAGGAGACACUGGGCACCUACAUAGCUACACUGUUACCAGAUGUGGAACUAGAGCUAGCAGCACCCACUAUUCAAAAUUGGCAGCUUCGCUGGCUACUGUUGCAAUUAAAAAUUGGGUGGUUUUUAAAGGAAAGUUUCAGUGCAGAGACUUUGCCUUCAAGAAUGGCAAAAAUAGAAAAAAAAAAGUCUUAAUAGCAGCUAGCUCUCAGAAAAGAUCUAAGUAUUUGGAUUUAUUGCUUUUUGAAAGGUCCCAAGGCAAGUCUUUGGUACUACAAAACGCCUGUGAAAAUAUGUGCCUGGUCCGAAUAGACACUGUGAUCUGUGAGCAUUGCCCAGAAACACACUACGUGCAGGCUGGUGUUCCUGCCUGCAUGAACGGAGUGUAAAAGUGAUACCUGUCCUCAAGGCAGAGCAGCAGAAACAACUGCGUGAAGAGGGUGGUAAAACAGGGCUGGAGUACACAGAAUCCUACCAAAACACCUUAUGUGAGGGAAAAUGAAUCACCUGGGUCACUGCUUCUUAUUGAAGAGAAGAGCUACUGGCCUGCAAAUUGUGCUUUCAAAAAAACCAACUGGUACCCUGUGGUUUAUCAAUGGUAUCAGCUCUUGGCUCAGCCCUGAGUGAACAGGUCUGGCUCUAAAUGUUACUCACUCACCCUGGGACAGUGACCUUGGCAUACACAGACUCGACAGCCCUGCAGAAGCAUAGGAGGGAGAAAAAAAAAAAGAUCCCUGGGAGUACUGCUUAAUUUAAUUUAAAAAAUAAGCCAGUCAUACAAAUGGGAAGGCUUAUUAAGAAGAAAUACAAAGGAGCAAGUGAUAAGGAUAAAUACUUGUAGACAGCAUAUUAAAUGCAUUGAGAAUAUCAAAUAUUAUUUAAAAAGUCUUAGGGAGACAAAAGCUGAUGGUAAUACAACAAAAAAACAAUAAAAGCAUCUAUUUUAAGUAAAAGAGUGGGGGGACAGAUGGACACCAUUUGCUUGCCAUGAAGACUUUUUUCCGAUUAUUUUCUGGGGACUCUUAACUGUAGCAGAAUAAAACCCAAAAAAAGCAGAAAACCUCCCAGGAAAAUUAGGAGAAGGGGUCAGUGGGUCAGUUUAGAUUAGUGGGAAGACUAUCUCAGGACAGGAAUAAAGCAGAGAAAAUAACCACACCCUCAGCAGCACAGCUCCCCAUCUACUUCCUGUCACCCGGGACAGGGAUGGAGAUGCAGAGG